GGAUGAAGAACGUAGCGAAACGCGAUAGUUAAUGUGAAUUGCAGAAUUCAGUGAAUCAUCGAGUCUUUGAACGCACAUUGCGCCCAAUGGUAUUCCGUUGGGCAUGUCUGUUUGAGCGUCAUUACAACCCUCAACUAACCGCUGGUUUUGAACCCGAACGGUUGACACCGUGCCGGUUUUAAAGUUGUAAGCUCUGCUGGCCUCUCUGCCCAACCAGAACAUAGUAAGCACUACUUGUCCAGGUGAAGCUGAACGGUACGGCCUGAACAAAACCUACCCAUUCUCAAGGUUUGACCUCAGAUCAGACAAGGAUACCCGCUGAACUUAAGCAUAUCAAUAAGCGGAGGA
rnacentral:misc_RNA from 1 species